rnacentral:rRNA from 1 species
AGAGUUUGAUCAUGGCUCAGGACGAACGCUGGCGGCGUGCCUAACACAUGCAAGUCGUACGGGAUUUGGGGGCAACUCCAAGUUCAGUGGCAGACGGGUGCGUAACACGUGAAGAACUUGUCCGGUGGCGGGGGAUAGCCGGCCCAACGGCCGGGUAAUACCGCAUACGCUCGUGUGGGGGCAUCCCUGUACGAGGAAAGCAGCCGCAAGGUUGCGCCGACGGAGAGCUUCGCGGCCUAUCAGCUUGUUGGCGGGGUAAUGGCCCACCAAGGCUACGACGGGUAGCUGGUCUGAGAGGAUGAUCAGCCACAUUGGGACUGAGACACGGCCCAGACUCCUACGGGAGGCAGCAGUGGGGAAUAUUGCGCAAUGGCCGCAAGGACGCAGCGACGCCGCGUGUGGGAUGACGGUCUUCGGAUUGUAAACCACUGUCAGGGGGAACGAAUACAGGGCGUCGAAUAGGCGACCCUGGGUGACGGUACCUCCAAAGGAAGCACCGGCUAACUCCGUGCCAGCAGCCGCGGUAAUACGGAGGGUGCGAGCGUUGUCCGGAAUCACUGGGCGUAAAGGGCGCGUAGGUGGUUCGAUAAGUCGCUGGUGAAAUUCCGGGGCUCAACUCCGGAGCUGCCGGCGAGACUGUCGGACUUGAGCACGGUAGGGGCAGAUGGAAUUCCCGGUGUAGCGGUGGAAUGCGUAGAUAUCGGGAAGAAUACCAGUGGCGAAGGCGUUCUGCUGGGCCGUUGCUGACACUGAGGCGCGACAGCGUGGGGAGCAAACAGGAUUAGAUACCCUAGUAGUCC